CACUCCUCAUCGUCCUGGACUGCAAAGAAUAAAGCCCUUGCCUGCUCAACCUCUCCUUGUAGCCCAAGCACUCGUCCUGGCAACAUCCUCGUAAGUCUUCUCUGCACUCUUUUAAGCUUGACAACAGCUUUCCUAUAACAUGGUGCUCAGAACU